rnacentral:tRNA from 1 species
AGCAGCGUGGCUCAGCUGAAAGAGCACGGGCUUGGGAGUCAGAGGUCAUGGGUUCGAAUCCCAACUCUGCCA